AUUGAACGCUGGCGGCAUGCCUUACACAUGCAAGUCGAACGGCAGCACGGGGGCAACCCUGGUGGCGAGUGGCGAACGGGUGAGUAACGCAUCGGAACGUGUCCUCUUGUGGGGGAUAACCAGUCGAAAGAUUGGCUAAUACCGCAUGAGAUCGCAAGAUGAAAGCGGGGGACCGCAAGGCCUCGCGCGAGAGGAGCGGCCGAUGCCGGAUUAGCUAGUUGGUGGGGUAAAAGCCUACCAAGGCGACAAUCCGUAGCUGGUCUGAGAGGAUGAUCAGCCACACUGGAACUGAGACACGGUCCAGACUCCUACGGGAGGCAGCAGUGGGGAAUUUUGGACAAUGGGGGCAACCCUGAUCCAGCCAUGCCGCGUGAGUGAAGAAGGCCUUCGGGUUGUAAAGCUCUUUCGGCCGGGAAAAAAUCGCAUGGAUUAAUACUCUGUGUGGAUGAUGGUACCGGAAUAAGAAGCACCGGCUAACUACGUGCCAGCAGCCGCAGUAACAC
rnacentral:rRNA from 1 species